rnacentral:rRNA from 1 species
UACGAAGGGUGCAAACGUUGCUCGGAAUUAUUGGGCGUAAAGCGCACGUAGGCGGCUUAGCAAGUCGGAUGUGAAAGCCCUCGGCUCAACCAAGGAAGUGCAUCCGAAACUGCUGAGCUUGAGUACUUAAGAGGAUCGCGGAAUUCCCGGUGUAGAGGUGAAAUUCGUAGAUAUCGGGAGGAACACCAGCGGCGAAGGCGG